AAUCCUUAUAGAGGAGGGCACUCACGUUUUCUGCAGCCGGACCGAAAAGACGAGUCAACUGUUCCACAACCAGUUUAAGGAUUU
rnacentral:tRNA from 1 species